AGAGUUUGAUUCUGGCUCAGAACGAACGCUGGCGGCGUGGAUAAGACAUGCAAGUCGAACGAGAGAAUUGCUAGCUUGCUAAUAAUUCUCUAGUGGCGCACGGGUGAGUAACACGUGAGUAACCUGCCCCCGAGAGCGGGAUAGCCCUGGGAAACUGGGAUUAAUACCGCAUAGAAUCGCAAGAUUAAAGCAGCAAUGCGCUUGGGGAUGGGCUCGCGGCCUAUUAGUUAGUUGGUGAGGUAACGGCUCACCAAGGCGAUGACGGGUAGCCGGUCUGAGAGGAUGUCCGGCCACACUGGAACUGAGACACGGUCCAGACACCUACGGGUGGCAGCAGUCGAGAAUCAUUCACAAUGGGGGAAACCCUGAUGGUGCGACGCCGCGUGGGGGAAUGAAGGUCUUCGGAUUGUAAACCCCUGUCAUGUGGGAGCAAAUUAAAAAGAUAGUACCACAAGAGGAAGAGACGGCUAACUCUGUGCCAGCAGCCGCGGUAAUACAGAGGUCUCAAGCGUUGUUCGGAAUCACUGGGCGUAAAGCGUGCGUAGGCUGUUUCGUAAGUCGUGUGUGAAAGGCGCGGGCUCAACCCGCGGACGGCACAUGAUACUGCGAGACUAGAGUAAUGGAGGGGGAACCGGAAUUCUCGGUGUAGCAGUGAAAUGCGUAGAUAUCGAGAGGAACACUCGUGGCGAAGGCGGGUUCCUGGACAUUAACUGACGCUGAGGCACGAAGGCCAGGGGAGCGAAAGGGAUUAGAUACCCCUGUAGUCCUGGCAGUAAACGGUGCACGCUUGGUGUGCGGGGAAUCGACCCCCUGCGUGCCGGAGCUAACGCGUUAAGCGUGCCGCCUGGGGAGUACGGUCGCAAGAUUA
rnacentral:rRNA from 1 species